GGGAAAGCAGUAUAUCCUUCACAUCGGACUCGAUAAAGGAAAAAGCUUCUUCCAUUUCGUGAAUAAGGCGGACGAGGACUAGAGGUAGAAGGACCUGCCGUCAAACUCGACAGUGAUCAACCUCCAUGACCUGCAGUAUAAAUCAGACUACCACGUGGAGGUGCUAGCCGUCAACUCCUACGGCUCCUCCAGCCCUGCCAAGCUGAACUUCAACGUCCCACAGCCUGUAGCCAAGAUGAAUAUGGGUGUGAUGGGGAAAGGGGCUGUGGCAGGCAUUGUCAUAGUCAUCUUCUUGGUGCUACUGAUCGCUGUGGACGCCACCUGUUGCUAUACCAACCGCUGUGGCAUGCUGAUGUUCCUGGCUGUCAAGCUGUUUGGGCAGAAGGUUCCUGGGAUGAAGACUGUGGAGGAGGGUGACGGCACCUCUAAUGGGAAAACGUCCCCCAGUGGAGAUCCUGCCACAGAGGCCUGAGUUACUGAACAGGAAGUGACAUCAUAGUAUCUGAAGAAUGGAACCUAUAAAUGCCAAAGUAAGGAGGAAGUAUUGUGAGUUGGGGGUCUUAGUUAAAUGUUUUUGGAGAGUUCCCAGGACAGUCCAUGUUGAGAAAGGAUAAGAAUUAGGAAAGUUAUCUGUGAACUGUAAUGUCUAACAUCAACAGAUGGUUGUAAUUUCAUCCAGCCCUGUGUAAUCUCAUGUUAAGUGUUACAUUUCCUUGCUUUUAUAUUUCAGUACAUUCAUGUUAUAUUUCAGUACAUUAAGGCUGCUGUAAAUUGUCAGGGAGACCUUCGUAGUUCAUGAAUUUAAUCAUAACUCAUUAUUUAUUGAAGUUUAUAUUCACUUUAAUCUGAAAAAAAUCUGAAAGUGACAUACCAUUAUUUAAUAAGGACAUUUUAUCCUAACAUAUUAACAUAUUUCCACAUUGAAUGUACAGUAUACAGCAUAAUCUCAUUAACAAAUAACGACGUGUCAAAAUUACAUGUCUUCAAGUGUUGUAAUCAUGAGAAAUAUACAGAUCUCUUAUAUAGCACAGAGCAAUAUGAAAUGCACAUUUCUUUAUAACCUGUUGUUAAAUGGCAUACCCUGUGUUCUCAUGUAAUCAUUUUAUGUUUGUAUUUGUUUAAUUAUCCACUUUUUUACUGUUUAUUUUGUACAUUGUACACUGUACAUUGUUUGUACUUACUCUGACCACCUCAGUGUGAUUGUAGUUGGCUGUAGUUAACUGCAUUGUCAUCCUCUGCCUUGUUAUUCCGCUGCCUCCUUUUAAGGGGAACAGAUUUUAGUGCAGAUCUAUAUUUGUAUUUACCUAGUAGUUAUUACUAUAUUACAGAUACUACGUAAUGUAAGCCUGUUGUUGCAUUGUUGGGUACAUGUUUUUUUGCAAGUUAUUAUGCAACUGUUUUGAUACACAUUAUUUUACUUGUGGAAUUUACUGUGAGUGUCUCACUCACUCUGUGGUUAUUUACAUGGGUGAAGGAGCAGGGCUGAUAUUGAGCUCUGCGUAGUUCAUGUCAUCAGGAUCAGUGAUCGGCUUGACUGACCGUCUCAUGUUUUCAUAGAUGUCCUCUGGUGUAGACAAUGUUGAUUUUUGUAUCUAACAGUCAGAAUACAGUCAAAAUACUGAGCACUG